CAUCAUUUUACUUUAUCCCUAUUGUAUCUGAUUGUUGUUUAUUCUAUUUUGCAAGCACCACCUCAAGAUCAUCCAUGUCAAGGAUGACAAGGUCAAUGUGACAUCCCCGGAUUGGUGCUACAGUAACCCCUGUAGUCAAGCGACAGUAAUCCCACGCUAGUGAAGCCACGUCAUCAUAAAUUCUAUCAUGGAUCUCGUGUUAGUCGAAAACCCAGUCGAGUUCGAAAUUUACGAAUAAAGUCGAACGAGAAACGUUUUGUGAUGUUAAGUAAAAAUGUCGAGAGAGUUACUGAAAUUCCCUAAAUAGUUAUAAAAAUGAAUCGGACAUUUUUAAUGGUAUUAAAAGUCCUAUAUA
rnacentral:lncRNA from 1 species